CGGAGCGGCGAACGGGUGAGUAACACGUGGGCAACCUGCCCCUAGCUCUGGGAUGACACCGGGAAACCGGUGCUAAUACCGGAUAUGACCUCGGAGGGCAUUUUCUGAGGUGGAAAGUUUUUCGGCUAGGGAUGGGCCCGCGGCCUAUCAGCUUGUUGGUGGGGUAAUGGCCUACCAAGGCGACGACGGGUAGCCGGCCUGAGAGGGCGACCGGCCACACUGGGACUGAGACACGGCCCAGACUCCUACGGGAGGCAGCAGUGGGGAAUAUUGCGCAAUGGGCGAAAGCCUGACGCAGCGACGCCGCGUGAGGGAUGAAGGCUUUCGGGUCGUAAAACUCUGUUGUUAGGGAAGAACAAGUGCUAGUUGAAUAAGCUGGCACCUUGACGGUACCUAACCAGAAAGCCACGGCUAACUACGUGCCAGCAGCCGCGGUAAUACGUAGGUGGCAAGCGUUAUCCGGAAUUAUUGGGCGUAAAGCGCGCGC
rnacentral:rRNA from 1 species